GGGUCGUCUUCUGUGCUCGGCGUGCUUUGCUCGGGGAAGCUCAGGUGGCCGCCACAGCCUCUUGCCCUCUGACCUGCAGGUAUCAGGAGAUCCAUAGCUAAGCAGCCUGGACACCCGGGAAGCUGGGAAAUGGUGUGAUUUGUCCAGAUAAUCUCACCUGAGAAGGAAUCCCAGAGAAGAAGGAAGAAGAGGAAGAAAUGGCUGGUUCUCAGGUGAAUGUGUCUGGGUUCAGGGGAUGUGUCUCCUCUUUUCUUCUGGGAUGUUAUGUGUUUAGAACUUGCAAACCUUUAUUUCUGUACUUCUGAUGUACCUGCCUAAUGUGUUUCUUCCCAACUACCUUCCCCCCUUCCCCCCUCCUUUCUUAUGAUUGAUAAGGAACUCUGUAAAAUCCUUCCUCCUGUGUACCAGAACCUUCUCUCCAUUCCCUCCUUCCAGGCUUCUUAUAUGUCAUGACCAAAUCUUACCAUUAAUGUAUGAUGGGCAGUAUUCAGAUGUUCUGUGACAUAUCAACAUGGGAAAGUGUGGAUCCCCAGGAUUAUCCGUGGGGAUGGGGCUGGGUCUUGGGAUGUCAGUGAAGAAGGGGAUCAUGUACCGUUUAGAUUUCAUCCACAUGCUCCAUCAUCUCUAUGCAGAACAGAAUUAAGAAAAGAGACAUUUAAA
rnacentral:lncRNA from 1 species